GUGGCUGGAGAGACGGCUCAGUGGUUAAGAGCGCUGACUGCUCUUCAGGAGGUCCUGAGUUCAAUUCCCAGCAACCACA
rnacentral:tRNA from 1 species